CCUACGGAGGGCAGCAGUGGGGAAUAUUGCACAAUGGGGGAAACCCUGAUGCAGCGACGCCGCGUGAGUGAAGAAGUAUCUCGGUACGUAAAGCUCUAUCAGCAGGGAAGAAAAUGCAGGUACCUGACUAAGAAGCACCGGCUAACUACGUGCCAGCAGCCGCGGUAAAACGUAGGGGGCAAGCGUUAGCCGGAUUUACUGGGUGGAAAGGGAGCGUAGACGGCGCGGCAAGUCCGGAGUGAAAGCCCAUGGCUUAACCAUGGUACUGCUCUGGAAACUGUAGAGCUUGAGUGCGGGAGGGGCAGGCGGAAUUCCUGGUGUAGCGGUGAAAUGCGUAGAUAUUAGGAGGAACACCGGCGGCGAAGGCGGCCUGCUGGACCGUAACUGACGUUGAGGCUCGAAAGCGUGGGGAGCAAACAGGAUUAGAUACCCCAGUAGUC
rnacentral:rRNA from 1 species